UACGUAGGGUGCAAGCGUUGUCCGGAAUUAUUGGGCGUAAAGAGCUCGUAGGCGGUUUGUCGCGUCUGCUGUGAAAACUCGGGGCUUAACCCCGGGCCUGCAGUGGGUACGGGCAGACUAGAGUGCGGUAGGGGAGACUGGAAUUCCUGGUGUAGCGGUGAAAUGCGCAGAUAUCAGGAGGAACACCGGUGGCGAAGGCGGGUCUCUGGGCCGAUACUGACGCUGAGGAGCGAAAGCGUGGGGAGCGAACAGG
rnacentral:rRNA from 1 species